rnacentral:rRNA from 1 species
CAUUCACGGAGAGUUUGAUCCUGGCUCAGGACGAACGCUGGCGGCGUGCUUAACACAUGCAAGUCGAACGAUGAACCGCUUUCGGGCGGGGAUUAGUGGCGAACGGGUGAGUAACACGUGGGCAAUCUGCCCUUCACUCUGGGACAAGCCCUGGAAACGGGGUCUAAUACCGGAUAAUACUGCGGUCCUCCUGGACUGUGGUUGAAAGCUCCGGCGGUGAAGGAUGAGCCCGCGGCCUAUCAGCUUGUUGGUGAGGUAAUGGCUCACCAAGGCGACGACGGGUAGCCGGCCUGAGAGGGC